rnacentral:misc_RNA from 1 species
AAGAGCUUGGUUUAUUAUAAUCCAAGAACAAGUACCAAACAUAAUAAAAGUACACAAGUUUCUCGCAUUUUAUUACAACUUCAUAAGGAAAACACAUUCUCAGAGGUUUGCUGCAGUGGCAGCUUUACUCCUCAAUAUCUCUUUGGCUUUAUAAAGAUUCCCAUGGACUUCCUCAAAAUGAGGCGCGGUCGCGUUCUUCACGUUCUCGAUCCACUGCUGAAUCUUGACGUGAGGGCUCAAUAUUCUAUCGCGAUCUUUGUCAUCAAGAAGCUCCAACUGUGUAAUCUCACAUCCAAGGCUGAGAUCUGCAAUAGAUGGCUGAGAAUACCCCAAUAAGAACUUGGCAUCAUCCUUAAGCCAAUAGGAUUCAAUUACUGAUAGGGAUGCA